rnacentral:rRNA from 1 species
UCGGGAAUUUUGGGCAAUGGGCGAAAGCCUGACCCAGCAACGCCGCGUGAAGGAUGAAAUUUUUCGGAAUGUAAACUUCGCAAGAAUGGGAAGAAUAAGUAGGGGAUAAUACCCCCUAUGAUGACGGUACCAUUUGUAAGCUCCGGCUAACUCCGUGCCAGCAGCCGCGGUAAUACGGGGGGAGCAAGCGUUGUUCGGAUUUACUGGGCGUAAAGGGCGCGUAGGCGGUCAUGACAAGUCACUUGUGAAAUCUCUGGGCUUAACUCAGAACGGUCAAGUGAUACUGUCAGACUAGAGUGCAGAAGGGGCAACUGGAAUUCUCGGUGUAGCGGUGAAAUGCGUAGAUAUCGAGAGGAACACCUGCGGCGAAGGCGGGUUGCUGGGCUGACACUGACGCUGAGGCGCGAAAGCUAGGGGAGCGAACGGGAUUAGAUACCCCCGUAGUCC